rnacentral:rRNA from 1 species
CCUACGGGUGGCUGCAGUGAGGAAUAUUGGUCAAUGGACGGAAGUCUGAACCAGCCAUGCCGCGUGCAGGAAGACGGCUCUAUGAGUUGUAAACUGCUUUUGUACAAGGGUAAACCUGAAUACGUGUAUUCAGCUGAAAGUACUGUACGAAUAAGGAUCGGCUAACUCCGUGCCAGCAGCCGCGGUAAUACGUAGGUGGCAAGCGUUAUCCGGAAUGAUUGGGCGUAAAGGGUGCGUAGGCGGCAAACUAAGUCUGAAGUAAAAGGCGUUGGCUCAACCAACGUAAGCUUUGGAAACUGUUAAGCUAGCGUGCAGGAGAGGUUAGUGGAAUGCCAUGUGUAGCGGUAAAAUGCGUAGAUAUAUGGAGGAACACCAGUGGCGAAGGCGGCUAACUGGCCUGUAACGGACGCUGAGGCACGAAAGCGUGGGGAGCAAAUAGGAUUAGAUACCCUGGUAGUC